rnacentral:antisense_RNA from 1 species
AGAGGUCGCUGCGAGACGGUACCCGCGCCCCACAGUCCACCCGCGCCUCGGAGUCCCCCCGCGCCCCGGAGUCCACCCGCGCCCCGGAGUCCACCCGCGCGGGUCCACUUCUCCAUCCCUGCUCUCGACCUCGGCCCCUGAGGCGGGGGAAGUUCCUGGGGCGGUGGCUGGGACCAGGCCGGGUUUUAGGAGGGCGGAGAUUUCCGGGCUAACUUUCCUCGCCGUCUCAGCGCGGGAAGGGGGAAAUGGGAAACCCGGGCGAGAGCAGCGGAGCUUCCCAGCCGCACACUUCCUCCCUCCAGCCGUUUGUCUCCGCAGGGGAGGGCCCUGGCAGCCAAGCCGGCAGCCCCACUGGUUAUCCGACCUUGUGCUCUGGCGGGGGGUGGAGACCUUACAUCCAGCUCAGAGCGCCUCCUCCCAUCCCCUGUGUCCUCUAGGCCUCCCCAGACUUUGCCUUUUAGCCUUCCAGUGAAACAAGUUCUGUAUCCAAGAUAUACAAUUAAGUGGACAAAGCAGAUUGCAGAAAGUCUUUUCGUAGCUCACAAGGGGACAUCAAAGAUGACAAAGAGGAGUGGAAGAAGACAGAGAGAAUCAAUGUGAGGAGCCUGGAACAGGGCUCUGAAUUGUCUUCCCACAAUGAAAUCACUUGGCUAUUGCUGAGCCACGAAUUUGACUCUGAGCAUCUAGGAUGAGAAAGAAGAAAUGGCACCUACACCAUCUCUGCCCCUCGGGACUGACUAUUUUGGCCCAGUUUCCUCAACAAUGAAAUGGGAAUAAUUAUCCCAGGUCGCAUUUCUCUAUGGGCUUACCCUGGGAAUCAAAUGAUUGAGCUUUGGAUCUCACCCUGUUGCCCAGGCUGGAAUGCAGUGAUAUGAUCAUGACUCACUGCAGCCUCAAACUCCUGGGUUCAAGUAACCCUCCCACCUCAGCUUUCUCAGUAACUGGGACUACAGAAUGCCCCACCCCACUUAGUCCAUAGUGAUGCCCACCUGUGGUUAAUGGAGCUGAGGCUGCUGGACCAAAGGGAGGAAGUCUGUCAGGCAUAUGUGGAACCCAAAAGAGGAACUUCAUCAACUGUCAUGGACAGCUCUGCCACUUUGUGACCCUGUGGAUUUUUUGGGAAGUGUUUUUGUGGUUCACCAGUCUCUCAUUAGGCAAGGCCACUUGUCCUGGGUUGGUCUUCUUCAUUGGUGGAAAGUACAGCUGGGAGAUUUGGAAUGGUUGCAGAUUGACUUGACUCUCGUCAGGAACUGCCACCAUGAGCUUCUGGGGAAAGACCUCAAGCUGUGGUGUAUUGCUGAGGAUUGUGGGAUUCCUCCAAAUCUUGGGGAACAUUUUGAGUCAUCACUGGCAGCCGAUUUCUGUUGACAACUUGAGCAACCUCAGAAUGAAGAAGCCGUCUUCAUCUCUCACAUGAGUAUGACUUUGGGUAAAUCAUCUUGAAAUCUGAACCCAUGGUUGUGAUCCGCACUCCUCCUGAGUUCUGAUUUUUAGUGUAACCUUUUUCUUCUCAUUUUUUCUUCUUUGUGCAUCUCUUAAGGAGGUUUUUAAAAUCUCAUAAUUAAAAAAUUUAUUUCUUC